CUACCUGGUUAAAUAAAGGUGUUCUCAACUGGCCUACCUGGUUAAAUAAAGGUGUUCUCAACUGGCCUACCUGGUUAAAUAAAGGUGUUCUCAACUGGCCUGCCUGGUUAAAUAAAGGUGUUCUCAACUGGCCUACCUGGUUAAAUAAAGGUGUUCUCAACUAGCCUACCUGGUUAAAUAAAGGUGUUCUCAACUAGCCUACCUGGUGAAAUAAAGGUGUUCUCAACUGGCCUCCCUGGUUAAAUAAAGGUGUUCUCAACUAGCCUACCUGGUUAAAUAAAGGUGUUCUCAACUAGCCUACCUGGUUAAAUAAAGGUGUUCUCAACUAGCCUACCUGGUUAAAUAAAGGUGUUCUCAACUGGCCUACCUGGUUAAAUAAAGGUGUUCUCAACUAGCCUACCUGGUUAAAUAAAGGUGUUCUCAACUAGCCUACCUGGUG
ensembl:lncRNA